UACGUAGGGGGCAAGCGUUGUCCGGAAUUAUUGGGCGUAAAGGGCGCGUAGGCGGAUAGUUAAGUCCGGUGUGAAAGAUCAGGGCUCAACCCUGAGAGUGCAUCGGAAACUGGUUAUCUUGAGGACAGGAGAGGAAAGUGGAAUUCCUAGUGUAGCGGUGAAAUGCGUAGAUAUUAGGAGGAACACCAGUGGCGAAGGCGACUUUCUGGACUGUAACUGACGCUGAGGCGCGAAAGCGUGGGGAGCAAACAGG
rnacentral:rRNA from 2 species